rnacentral:misc_RNA from 1 species
GGAAGUAAAAGUCGGUAACAAGGUCUCCGUUGGUGAACCAGCGGAGGGAUCAUUACCGAGUUCCAGCAACUCCCAACCCUUGCGAACCGUGCCCCAGUCUGUUCUCGUUGCCUCCGGCAGGCGGGGGGGGCCACCUGGCCCCUCCCCCUGCCGGGGGCGGCGGGCCCUCUGAACCUUUAUAUCUCAACCACUGAAACCCGUCUGAGCAAAACAAAAAAUAAUCAAAACUUUCAACAACGGAUCUCUUGGCUCUG